UACGUAGGGUGCAAGCGUUAUCCGGAAUUAUUGGGCGUAAAGAGCUCGUAGGCGGUUUGUCGCGUCUGCUGUGAAAACUGGAGGCUCAACCUCCAGCCUGCAGUGGGUACGGGCAGACUAGAGUGCGGUAGGGGAGAUUGGAAUUCCUGGUGUAGCGGUGGAAUGCGCAGAUAUCAGGAAGAACACCCGUGGCGAAGGCGGCUCUCUGGUACGUGACUGACGCUGAGACGCGAAAGCGUGGGGAGCAAACAGG
rnacentral:rRNA from 1 species